GGGUUGUGAGGUUAAGCGACUAAGCGUACACGGUGGAUGCCCUGGCAGUCAGAGGCGAUGAAGGGCGUGCUAAUCUGCGAUAAGCGCCGGUAAGGUGAUAUGAACCGUUAUAACCGGCGAUACCCGAAUGGGGAAACCCAGUGUGACUCGUCACACUAUCAUUAACUGAAUCCAUAGGUUAAUGAGGCGAACCGGGGGAACUGAAACAUCUAAGUACCCCGAGGAAAAGAAAUCAACCGAGAUUCCCCCAGUAGCGGCGAGCGAACGGGGAGGAGCCCAGAGCCUGAAUCAGCAUGUGUGUUAGUGGAAGCGUCUGGAAAGGCGCGCGAUACAGGGUGACAGCCCCGUACACAAAAGUGCAUGUGCUGUGAGCUCGAUGAGUAGGGCGGGACACGUGGUAUCCUGUCUGAAUAUGGGGGGACCAUCCUCCAAGGCUAAAUACUCCUGACUGACCGAUAGUGAACCAGUACCGUGAGGGAAAGGCGAAAAGAACCCCGGCGAGGGGAGUGAAAAAGAACCUGAAACCGUGUACGUACAAGCAGUGGGAGCACCCUUUGGGGUGUGACUGCGUACCUUUUGUAUAAUGGGUCAGCGACUUAUAUUCUGUAGCAAGGUUAACCGAAUAGGGGAGCCGGAGGGAAACCGAGUCUUAAUUGGGCGUUAAGUUGCAGGGUAUAGACCCGAAACCCGGUGAUCUAGCCAUGGGCAGGUUGAAGGUUGGGUAACACUAACUGGAGGACCGAACCGACUAAUGUUGAAAAAUUAGCGGAUGACCUGUGGCUGGGGGUGAAAGGCCAAUCAAACCGGGAGAUAGCUGGUUCUCCCCGAAAGCUAUUUAGGUAGCGCCUCGUGAAUUCAUCUCCGGGGGUAGAGCACUGUUUCGGCUAGGGGGCCAUCCCGGCUUACCAACCCGAUGCAAACUGCGAAUACCGGAGAAUGUUAUCACGGGAGACACACGGCGGGUGCUAACGUCCGUCGUGAAGAGGGAAACAACCCAGACCGCCAGCUAAGGUCCCAAAGUCAUGGUUAAGUGGGAAACGAUGUGGGAAGGCCCAGACAGCCAGGAUGUUGGCUUAGAAGCAGCCAUCAUUUAAAGAAAGCGUAAUAGCUCACUGGUCGAGUCGGCCUGCGCGGAAGAUGUAACGGGGCUAAACCAUGCACCGAAGCUGCGGCAGCGACGCUGAUGCGUUGUUGGGUA
rnacentral:rRNA from 1 species